UAGCCUGAGAAAUAGCUACCACUUCUACGGAGGGCAGCAGGCGCGCAAAUUGCCCAAUGUCAAAAAAAACGAUGAGGCAGCGAAAAGAAAUAGAGCCGGCAGUGCCAAUGGCAUUGCCGUUUUCAAUGGGGGAUAUCUAAACCCAUCCAAAAUCGAGUAUCAAUUGGAGGACAAGUCUGGUGCCAGCACCCGCGGUAAUUCCAGCUCCAAAAGCGUAUAUUAAUGCUGUUGCUGUUAAAGGGUUCGA
rnacentral:rRNA from 1 species